rnacentral:tRNA from 3 species
GAUAGCUCAGUCGGUAGAGCGCCGGACUGUUAAUCCGUAGGUCCCUGGUUCGAGCCCA